rnacentral:snRNA from 11 species
CUCAAUGAAAAUAUGAGAGGAAUUUUUGAGAGUACAGGUUGUCCCCAGAGUGACCUGGCUACUUAGCGGGAUGCUCAGGUACCAUAACCCCCCCC